rnacentral:tRNA from 1 species
GUUUGGGUAGUUUAAUUGAGAAUAGUAAUUUGUGGAAUUGUAGGUGUUAUUUAUAAACCCCAAA